rnacentral:rRNA from 1 species
AUUGAACGCUGGCGGCAGGCCUAACACAUGCAAGUCGAACGGUAACAGGAAGAAGCUUGCUUCUUUGCUGACGAGUGGCGGACGGGUGAGUAAUGUCUGGGAAACUGCCUGAUGGAGGGGGAUAACUUCUGGAAACGGUAGCUAAUACCGCAUAACGUCGCAAGACCAAAGAGGGGGACCUUCGGGCCUCUUGCCAUCGGAUGUGCCCAGAUGGGAUUAGCUAGUAGGUGGGGUAACGGCUCACCUAGGCGACGAUCCCUAGCUGGUCUGAGAGGAUGACCAGCCACACUGGAACUGAGACACGGUCCAGACUCCUACGGGAGGCAGCAGUGGGGAAUAUUGCACAAUGGGCGCAAGCCUGAUGCAGCCAUGCCGCGUGUAUGAAGAAGGCCUUCGGGUUGUAAAGUACUUUCAGCGGGGAGGAAGGGAGUAAAGUUAAUACCUUUACUCAUUGACGUUACCCGCAGAAGAAGCACCGGCUAACUCCGUG